GCACUUGCUUCAGCAGUGCGUAUAUAAAAUUGGACCACUGCAAAGAAGAUUUGCACAGCUCCUGGGCAAGGAUGACAUGCAAAGUCUUGAAGCAUUCCAUGUUUUU
ensembl:snRNA U6 U6 spliceosomal RNA